AGUGAACGCUGGCGGUAGGCCUAACACAUGCAAGUCGAACGGCAGCACAGUAAGAGCUUGCUCUUACGGGUGGCGAGUGGCGGACGGGUGAGGAAUACAUCGGAAUCUACUUUUUCGUGGGGGAUAACGUAGGGAAACUUACGCUAAUACCGCAUACGACCUACGGGUGAAAGCAGGGGAUCUUCGGACCUUGCGCGAUUGAAUGAGCCGAUGUCGGAUUAGCUAGUUGGCGGGGUAAAGGCCCACCAAGGCGACGAUCCGUAGCUGGUCUGAGAGGAUGAUCAGCCACACUGGAACUGAGACACGGUCCAGACUCCUACGGGAGGCAGCAGUGGGGAAUAUUGGACAAUGGGCGCAAGCCUGACCCAGCCAUACCGCGUGGGUGAAGAAGGCCUUCGGGUUGUAAAGCCCUUUUGUUGGGAAAGAAAAGCAGCAGGUUAAUACCCCGCUGUUCUGACGGUACCCAAAGAAUAAGCACCGGCUAACGCCGUG
rnacentral:rRNA from 1 species